CCAGAGCCCACCCUUGGAGAACCACUGGGCUAUAGAAUGAUGUCAAGGGCUGGAGAGGGAGGCUACAGAGUGGGUCUAGGUCCAGGUACAGUCUCAGAACCACACUGCAAAACUGGCUUAGUCAGGUAGCUGCUGUAUCUGCUGCUUCCACUGUGAACUCAAAAACCACAUUGCCUGUGCUGCAGGCCGGAAAGCUGCUGAACCAGGAAGCUGUGCUGAUGCUGCUGACUGCCCCUGAGGUUAGAGAUUGACUAGACAUAGUGCCACUGUCAUCCCUGCUGGAGAAGGUCCGAAGCACCUCCACCUCUGUGCUUCCAGAGGGGCACUGUGGUGGCCACUUAAAAUGCUCAGGCUAUACCAUGCACUAGAGCAUCUACCUGGGCAAGGGAUAUGCUGUAUGACACUCUCCUGAUGCUGGGCAUGGCUGUGAGCCAAAGCACCCAGGCAGCCCUGCCAUCAGAAGGGUAAACCACGGACACCUGAUGCCUUCCUGAAGGAAGAGCACUACGCCUGCCAAACCAUCAAGCGUUGAUGCUCCAGCGCCUUCUACCCGUGGUUCUCCAGCCUCAGCAGAAGAGAGAGAAAUUGAUGACCCUGUCGUUGUAGCAUCCCCAUCACCCAGCAAUUAAUUUUAGUUCAAUGCUUCAAACGCUCUUCAGGCGCAGUGUGCGUUCAGCUGUGUCAGCUAAUGCAAAUGGGGGAUCUCAGAAGUCUUAAUGAAGUAACUAUCCCUGAACACUGGGAUCAAUACUCAGCAUCCAGCUGUCAAAUCAACACCAAGCCGCCUCCUGGAGCAGAUUGUUAAGCUGAUGCGAGUCUGGGCUCUGCCUCACCACUUGUCUCAGAGACAGAGUCUUGCUCUGUCACCUAGGCUGGAGUGCAGUGGUGCCAUCACAGCUCACUGCAGCCUCGACCUCCCCGUGCUCAAGUGAUCCUCACACCUCAGCCUCCCGAGUAGCCGCGAUCACAAGUUAAACAAACACAGUUCUUUACAUCAAUGCUUCCGUCCCUGGCCAUCUGGUCUCCUGUCCCCUCCAGACCCAAAACCAUGGGCUGGGCUGCAGCAAAAUGAGGGUGUACUCAGUGCACUGAGGCCCAUGUACCAUGAGAGAUGGAGAAAGCCUUGGCCGGAGUUUAAGGAUUUGGGGCUGGGCACAGUGGCUCGUGCCUGUAAUCCUAGCACUUUGGGAGGCCAAGGCAGGAGGAUCACUUGAGGCCAAGAGUUUGAGACCAGCCUGAGCAACAUAGUGAGACUCUCAUUUCUAAAAAUAAAAAAGUUAGGCCUGGCACAGUGGCUCAUGCCUAUAAUCCCAGCAGUUUGGGAAGCUGAAUCAAGAGGAUCACUUGAGGCCAGGAGUUUGAGCCCAGCCUGGUCAACAUAGUGAGACUUUAUCACUACAAAAAGUUUUUAUUUAUUUAUUUUUUUUGAGACAGGGUCUCGAUUCAUCACUUAGGCUGGAGUGGAGUGUGCAAUCACAGCUCACAGCUCACAGCAGCCUCGACCUCCUGGGUUCAAGCCAUCCUCCCACCUCAGCCUCCUGAGUAGCUGGGACUACAGGCAUACACCACCAUGUCUGGCUAAAUUUUUGUACUUUUUGUAGAGACAGGGUUUCGCCAUGUUGCCCAGGCUGGUCUCUAGCUCCUGGGCUCAAGCAAUCUGCCUGCCUCAGCCUCCCAGAGGCCUGGAACUACAGGCGUGAGCCGCUGCUCUUGGCCAUUUUUAAUUUAAGAGACAGAGUCUCGCUUUGUUACCCAGGCUGGAGUGCAGUACCCUUACUGCAGCCUUGAACUACUGGGCUCAAGCCAUCCUCCCACCUCAGCCUCUCAAGUAGCUGGGACUACAGGUGUGUGUCCCCAUGCCCAGCUGACUGAGCUACCACCAUGCCACUGCAUGCCAGUUGUGACAAAAAUGUCCAGUGCUAGGAGACUCAUAAGUUGGAGAGAAACGGCCUGAUUUAUAGAAACUGAGCGAGACUCCGGACCACCUGAUGCAGAGAAACCUGUGACCUGAAAAAGUCUAUUUGUGUUUCCUCUAGGAAUCUCGGCCAAGAAGACAGGGACAAGCUCCCAACUCUGACUACCCCUUUUACAGGGAAAAAAAAAAAAUCCCGUGCCUUCUUUGCAGCAAGUGACAAAUCCUUGUCAUAUCGAGAUGGCUUUUCCUCCUCCUCUUCAAACAUCUUUUAGCAGCAACAGCAGCUCAAGUAACUGGAAUUAUUUCAGAGUUAAAAUGCAGGCUUUGUAGACCCUCUUAGACAGACAGAUUCAAUUUCAAAGGAAACUUCUUUGGCUGGGUACUCAGUGAGUGUUACACAGGGAUUUGGGGAGUUAAUAUUCACUGUUUCUGUUGUUGGAGAAAAGGAAAGCAGAGUUGCUCUUUCUCAUUACUCUCCCCAACGCACAUCUGUUUCCUCUCGUAUCUUGGAAUUAGGAAGAUGGAGGAGACUUAAGUGGUGACCCACCUAGCCUCCUGAUGCAUGCUGGGCUCACUUUAAAACUCCCAAAACAGAUGGCAGUUGAUCACGGUUUUAAAGAUCCCAGCAUAGACUUUCUGCAGCCUCCCUUGUUAGCCACUAUCAGCGCUUAACAUUCUGUCAUCUGAAUAACUCCUUAAAAAUGAUAGCAAUGGUAGUAGAAAUUUAAAAGGAACCUCCCAAAAAACAUGCAAAAGCUUACCACCCCAGUAAAUCACCCGCAACAAUGUCGCAACAGUUUAAAUUUACUGCAGAGAGAGCUGAAGUUUAGGAGACACAGCUUUAUAAUAUUUUUGAGAGAUAGUUGAGUGCAAAUGAGUCCUGUUCCUCUUGCAUCAGGGCCUGCUCCACUGAGUCAUCCUGCCUUCAGAAGCUUCCAGCUAAGUGGCAGGCCCCGGCCAUAGGCUCCCUGUGUCCCCAGCCUCCAGAGAACACACAAUGUUCUCAUCGCCCUUAGCUCCAUUCCAGAAGGGGCCUGCAGUUCUGCAGCUUAUCAGGGGUCUACUGGGAAGUGAGAUGUCACUGUCCCUUUCUGGCCCUGCAUUGUCUGUGAGUGGCUCUCCUGGAUUAAGAGUUGGCAAAGUAUGGCCAGUGGCCAGGACUGGCCUGCUGCCUGUUUUUGUUUAACCCGUGAGCUAAGAAUAGUUUUUACCUAUUUUAAGUAGUUGAAAAAAAAAUCAAGAGAAGAAUACUAUUUCGUGAUAUGUGAAAAAUCACAUGAAAUUCAAAUGUAAGUGUCCAUAAAUAAAGUCUUACUGGAAGACAGCCUUGCUCAUUUAUUUCUGUCUCAUUCGCUACUGUCUGCGGCUGCCUUCACGCUACAAUGGCAGUACUGAGUAGUUGUGACGGGCACUGUAUGACAGCAAAUCCUAAAGUAUUUGCCAUCUGGCCCUUCACAGAAAAAGUUUGCUGACCCUGGCUUUCGAGCCUCUCAUCACUUUGGGAUUCAUCUCUUUACUUUCCCCAGAGUGAGGGAGGCAGUAACGUUCCUCGUGAGUGCUUAGUCCUUGCUCCCAAGGCAAUAAACCCCCCAAAACCCCUCUCUUUCUGCAGUCUUCUUGUUGGCUUGAUAGUGGUAGGGCUGGUUCAGCCAAGGUCACAGUUGGAGGGCAGGAAGGGGGUACAGCGAAGGACGACGGGGGUGUCUUCUCUAGUCCUGUUUGCAGCAAUCUUUAGAAUGCAAAAUAAUUAAGAAGAAACUGCUGUUUUUUGGCUGUGGGAUGCAAUUCGAAUUCUGGAAAAUUAGAAUCAACAGAACGUGGGAUGUGGGAGUCCAGGACAACUCCCCUGUUUUGGCUGUGUUUGGUGCCAUGUGUGGAGGUGGGAGAGAUGGGAGAAAGAAGAGGUUUGGGCAGGGGGAGGGAAGAAUCAAGAUUCUGCUUUGAAUGGACGAAGGUUGUGGUUUGUUGAGAGGACAACUAGAUAACUGGCCACUUGAAGAUGGGAUGGAAGUCUGAAUCUGCAAGGAGUCACAGAUGAAUGGUAUGGAAAGCUGUGGUAGUGGAUGAGAUCAUACGAACGGUGGGUGCAGAUGGAAACGAGAAGCCAUCUAAGGACUCGUAAUGGGCUCCUCAACACUUGGAAGUUGGGUAGAGGAAGAAGACCGCAUGAGGGCAGGAUCCUGAAUGUUCCACUCACUGCUAUAUCCCUAGCACUGGUUACAGUGCUUGGCACACACUGCAUGCUCAAUAAAUUAUUUGUUGCCCAUAUAAGUGAACGUGAAUUCCAAUGGACUAGCAUCUUCCACUCUCAACAUAAACAAAAACAACAGCAACAUUGCAAUUCCCUAUCUUCUCUUCCCUGAUCUCUUUCUCAUUCUGUCUCUCCUUCCCUUUUCCUCUGCCUUCCUGUUGCCUUCUCUGAUAUGAGUUAAAUUUAUCAGGGGUGUCCAGGUACCCGGCUAUUCUUGAGCAUUCCUUAUCUGGCUA
rnacentral:lncRNA from 10 species